rnacentral:lncRNA from 1 species
AGAGGUGCAGAUCUCAUAUAAUUAUAGACUUUUGGAUAAGAAUGUAAAAAAAGAAAAAAAAAUUGGGUCAGAUGGGGAAUAGACCAGACCUAUGGUAGACUUUUGGUAGCAAAGAGGCUAAUUAGACUUUAAUAAACAAAUUUAAAAAAACAUUAAAUAAAUCAAAACAAAGAAACUUUCCUGUGCUUACUUGUAGAUUUAAUGAUACAGCUAGCUACCAAAUGCAUAUCCAUAUAUUGACUUUGAAUAUUUUUUCCUUUUUUGGAUUUCAC